GAAGAGAACAACAAAUAUCACUGAGACAUGACUGUAAUCACUUAAGCCAACAACAAGCCAGACUCUGAGAGAAAUUAGCUUUUUUAAAAGGUAUUGUUCUAGACUGGAUAGAACUCAGCUUGACAAGGGGAAAAACAAAAUACUGUUUGUUGGCAUCCAGACAUCUGUUAGUCAGUCAAAUGUAAUUUUGGAUAAAAAAAAACAUGCUUUGCACAGACAGACACAUGAUGCAGUCAGUUCCUCUAGCCCUUAGUACUGACUUUAGCCCUCACCUCCCCUAAAGGAUGGAAUGUCUGAUUUUCAACGACUGGGGAGUGUUUGGUAGAGAACAUGGAUCCUUGGCCCAAAAUCAUAUGGAUAAAGCAAUGAACAUUUGUAUUUUUUGCUUGAAAAUGUCAUCCCUUGGCUACAAAAAGUCAGUCCAUGAUUUUGUACAAAGAUGAGACGUCUUUUCCUGUUUGUUGUCUUACCCCUCAACUGUGGUGUGUUUCUGUGUGUUUGAGUCUGUAGCCUGCAUAUAGGCCUACUGUAUGUAUCCAUAUAGGCCUACUGUAUAUAUCUAUAUAGGUCUACUGUAUGUAUCUAUAUAGGCCUACUGUAUAUAUCUAUAUAGGUCUACUGUAUGUAUCUAUAUAGGCCUACUGUAUGUAUCCAUAUAGGCCUACUGUAUGUAUCCAUAUAGGCCUACUGUAUAUAUCUAUAUAGGCCUACUGUAUGUAUCCAUAUAGGCCUGCUGUACAGUAUGUAUCCAUAUAGGCCUACUGUAUGUAUCCGUAAAGGCCUACUGUAUGUAUCCAUAUAGGCCUACUGUACAGCAUGUAUCCAUAUAGGCCUAUUGUAUAUAUCCAUAAAGGCCUACUGUAUGCAUCCAUAUAGGUCUACUGUACAGUAUGUAUCCAUAUAGGCCUGCUGUAC
rnacentral:lncRNA from 1 species